rnacentral:tRNA from 1 species
GCCUCGGUAGUGUAAUAGACCAGCACGGCAGGCCGGGUAUCUGUAAGUGCGGGUUCGAGUCCGCCUGAGGUC